rnacentral:lncRNA from 1 species
UUGCCAAUGCGAACUGAAUAAACAUUCAGAAUAAUUAAGAUGUAUAAAAUUGAUUUAUAAAUGAAAACACAAAUUAAUAUAUACUUACUUGCGGUAAAACGGGACCAAAUAACAAUCUUUGAUGCUCCCUUUCAACUUAUCUUUUAAGUAAUGAAGGAUAUUGUUUCUGUCGAGCCGCGAGUAAGACCAAUGUGCGUCAAAUCUAAGAUGCAAUACUUGUUUUGAAGUUUCAUUUCAACACAUAACUCAUGGAUGUACCUGUAAGAGCAAAUCUUUAUGUUAAAGUAGAAUAAUAUAUGAAUAUAAAUAGAGAUCAACAUAAAAACUAUACUUAUGAGGACUAAAUUUGUAAUACGAAAUUGUCUAGGUACAUAUUUCCCAACAAAAAUUCAUGGACAGAAAUCCUAGAAAAUACGAAUAACUGAGUUGGAUCAUGACUUAAUGUAAUACCCAUGCAUGGUUCUGGAAUACUGUUAACGAUCAUUCCUAGUCUCUCAAUGUUAUCUACUUUUGACGGUGUGGGUUCAAUACUGCUAUGGUUGGCAUAAAAACUUUCUUUCGUGCUUGUACCACCCGUAACUUUCUGAACUUCAUUCUCUCAAAUUUCUAACUGAUUUGAAUUUGUGUAGAUUAAUAUACCUAACGAAUUCAAUUUCUACAUCAUAAAAACAACAUAAAUACAAUCCAAAAUUAAAAUACACAAACAAUAAUAACAACAACAUACAAAUUAUACCUCAAACACAUCACGGGUACACUUCUUAGACACAUUCUCCUCAGUCAUCCUCUCUCACUCUUCCCGCUCCU